UGCUGGCCUGCGCAGUAAAGGAAGAGGCAUCUAGACAACAGCCACUGUGGAAGAUCAGACCUCAGGAAGUGCCACCUGGGAACAGGAAAUGCCAAUGGACUAUGCAUCUCAAAGUGAUGACAGGCACAAAGCUUAGCUCCGUCGUGACUAAGUUGGGUUUGAAGGAAAUGAAGAUGUCGUAGCUUUGAAAUAUGGUCAACUCCAGGCACGUGACACACAGUCUUUGAAAAGAAAGAUCAAGCGUCUGCAGUGACAGGCCACCUCCUAAGGAAUAGGGUCCGACGACAGUGAGAAAAUGAAGGGCUCUGGGCAUGCAUGGUAGAGCCCUAAAUUUUUUCCCAUGUAGCCACGAGGCUGAAGUACCAGAAAUAAAACGGGGUCAUGCC